rnacentral:rRNA from 1 species
CAAUAGCGUAUAUUAAAUUUGUUGCAGUUAAAAGCUCGUAGUUGGAUUUCUAUCGAAAGGAUCUGGUAUUAACUCACUGAGAAGUAUCACGAUUUAUCGAUAUUUUGCUUCACGAUUUGGGGGUUCUAACGAAUUUUCAUUUAGAGGCAUUUUUACUUUGAGUAAAUUAGAGUGUUUCAAGCAAGCUAUUGCUCUGAAUACUGCAGCAUGGAAUAAUACUAUAUAACUUUGGUUAUUUAUUUGUUGGUUUGUUAACCAGAGUAAUGAUCAAGAGGAGCAGCUGGGGGCAUCCGUAUUCAACAGUCAGAGGUGAAAUUCUUAGAUUUGUUGAAGACGAACUAAUGCGAAAGCAUUUGCCAAAAAUGUUUUCAUUAGUCAAGAAACGAAAGUUAGGGGAUCGAAGAUGAUCAGAUACCAU